AACGAACGCUGGCGGCAUGCCUAACACAUGCAAGUCGAACGAGAUCUUCGGGUCUAGUGGCGCACGGGUGCGUAACGCGUGGGAAUCUGCCCUUUGGUUCGGAAUAACAGUUGGAAACGACUGCUAAUACCGGAUGAUGACGAAAGUCCAAAGAUUUAUCGCCAGAGGAUAGAGCCCGCGUAGGAUUAGCUAGUUGGUGUGGUAAAGGCGCACCAAGGCGACGAUCCUUAGCUGGUCUGAGAGGAUGAUCAGCCCCACUGGGACUGAGACACGGCCGAGCCUCCUACGGGAAGCAGCAGUGGGGAAUAUUGGACAAUGGGCGAAAGCCUGAUCCAGCAAUGGCGCGUGAGUGAUGAAAGCCUUAGGGUUGUAAAGCUCUUUUACCCGGGAUGUUAAUGACAGUACCGGGAGAAUAAGCUCCGGCUAACUCCGUGCCAGCCGCCGCAGUAA
rnacentral:rRNA from 1 species